AGCGCAGUCUCUCAGCACCCGUCCCAAGACUCCGUCCGGCCCCGCUGCUUUCCUCGGGUUCACUGCCUUCAGUGUGCGUCUCACCUCGUGCUCCGUGAGGCUGAGGCUGCUGAGGGCAGGUGGAUGUAAUGGUGUGGCUGCUUCCGAUAGCCCCGUCUCGUAGCGGGCGUAGAAGGAGUUCAGCUCCUCCGCCAGCUGAGGGUCACCCCCAUCGGCCGAGGGGUGGCUGGGUUUGUAGUCAUCUGCUGGACCCCCUGCCACACCCGCCUGGAGUUGUUGCCCCGGAAGAAGUCCUCAAUCUUCCCCUUGUAGUCCAAGGAAGGAGAGGUGCUGAGGCAGAUUGAGAGGGAGGUGCGGAUGUGGGAGGGGGGCAGUAAGCUGCUGGCAGCGUGUUCCAGGAGAGAGCAGGCCCUGGAGGCCUCCAAGAGCCUGCUGACCUGCAGCGCCCACAUCCUGGCCUUGCUCAGCCAGCUGCAGAGGAUGAGGAAGGCUCAGAUCCUGCAGAGAGUGGGACAUAGACCUGCCUGUCCCGCUGAUGUGGAAAGACUCAGAGUACUUCAAGAACAAAGGAGG